rnacentral:lncRNA from 1 species
AAUAUUAAUUAAGCAAGAUGACGGCCCUGAUAGGCUUCCAUUGGGUCGAAUCCGGGUCUCAUUUGCAUAAAUUAGCAUACUGGGCUCAUUUGCAUAGAUUAGCAUCCAGGGAUCCCAUUGGUUCGUCGACAUGAGGCCUUAAUUGAAUAUUAAUUAGGUAAGAAGCAAGAUGGCGGCUUCCAAGGCACUAAGCAGGUCCUCAUUUUGCAUAAAUUAUGAUCCUAAUUUGCAUAAAUUAGCAUACGUGGCUCGUUUGCAUAGAUUAGCGUAGAGGGAUCCCAUUGGUUCGCUGAUAAUGAGGCCUUAAUUGAAUAUUAAUUAGGAGCAAGGCGGCCCUAAUUGGCUUCAAUUGGCUCGAAUCUGGGCCUCAUUUGCAUAAAUUAGCAUACAGAAAUCGCCUGCAUAAAUUAGGGCUCAUUUGCAUAAAUUAGAAUAGAAGGAUCCCAUUAGAUCUCAUAGGCCUUAAUGGAGCUCGGGAACAAGAUGGCGGCCCAGGUUGGCUUGGCAGCUGGUCCUCAUUUGCAUAAAUUAGCAUAGAGGGCUCAUUUGCAUAUAUUAGCAUACAACGAUCCCAUUAAUUAGUGGGAAUCCAAUAGGCCUUAAUGGGGUCUUGACUAAUUAAUGAGCUCUAUAUCAAGAUGGCAGCCCGGAUCACCCUCAUUUGCAUACUAAUGCAUACAGGGAUCCCUUAAUUAGCAUAUAUAAUGAUGAAGCCCUCAUUUGCAUAAAUUAGCAUAGCCGAAACACUCCUAUGUCUGUCAUGGUGUUAAUUAAGAAGCCAUAUUACAUAAUGUGGGUGGAUAACUGAAUAUUAAUGAGGUGUAUGCUAAUUAGGCUCCUCAUUAACGAAGCCGCUUCGUUAGCGCCGCUACAUUGGAGUCAAUGGGGAUCGGCCCAUAGGGGGGAAUAUAGGGCCUGUUUCAUGGGGUUUUAAUGGGGUUUUAAUGGGGUUUUCAAUGGGGUUUUUUAAUGGGGUCCUUAUGGGGUCUUUAAUGGGAUUUUAGGGUCAAUUUUGGGGUGAAUUUGGGGCUUUUUGGGUCUUUUUUGGGGUAUUUUUAGGGUUUUUUGGGGGUUUUUGAGGCCUAUUUUGAGGCCUAUUUAUAGGCCUUUUCUGAGGCCUUUUU